rnacentral:rRNA from 1 species
GACUACUGGGGUAUCUAAUCCUGUUUGCUACCCACGCUUUCGUACCUGAGCGUCAGUUUUAAGCCAGUAAGUCGCCUUCGCCACUGGUGUUCCUUCAGAUCUCUACGCAUUUCACCGCUACACCUGAAAUUCCACUUACCUCUCUCAAACUCUAGCUCGCCAGUUUCAAAUGCAGUUCCCAGGUUGAGCCCAGGGCUUUCACAUCUGACUUAACGAGCCGCCUACGCACGCUUUACGCCCAGUAAUUCCGAUUAACGCUUGCACCCUCCGUAUUACCGCGGCUGCUGGCACGGAGUUAGCCGGUGCUUCUUCUAAAGGUAAUGUCAAACUCGAAGGUAUUAACUUCGAGGUUUUCCUUCCAAUUGAAAGUGCUUUACAACCCUAAGGCCUUCUUCACACACGCGGUAUUGCUGGAUCAGGCUUUCGCCCAUUGUCCAAUAUUCCCCACUGCAGCCUCCCGUAGG